AAUAGAUACCCGGGUAGUCCAUGCCUUAAACGAUGUAUACUAGGUGUAAGAGGGAUCAACCCCCCUUGUACCGGAGCUAACGCAUUAAGUAUACCGCCUGGGGAGUACGCUCGCAAGGGUGAAACUCAAAAGAAUUGACGGGGGCCCGCACAAGCAGUGGAGCAUGUGGUUUAAUUCGAUGCAACGCGAAGAACCUUACCUGGGCUAGAAGUGUAGAGGACGUUAUUAGAGAUAAUAAUUCCCGAAAGGGUCUUUACAUAGGUGCUGCAUGGCUGUCGUCAGCUCGUGCCGUGAGGUGUUUGGUUAAGUCCAGCAACGAGCGCAACCCUUAUCGUUAGUUGCCAGCACGUAAUGGUGGGAACUCUAACGAGACUGCCUGGGUUAACCAGGAGGAAGGUGAGGAUGACGUCAAGUCCGCAUGGCCUUUAUGUCCAGGGCUACACACGUGCUACAAUGGUCGGUACAGAAGGCAGCGAAGCCGUAAGGUGGAGCAAAUCCUAUAAAACCGGAUCUCAGUUCAGAUUGUAGUCUGCAACUCGACUA
rnacentral:rRNA from 1 species